CAGGGUAUAGACCCGAAACCCGGUGAUCUAGCCAUGGGCAGGUUGAAGGUUGGGUAACACUAACUGGAGGACCGAACCGACUAAUGUUGAAAAAUUAGCGGAUGACUUGUGGCUGGGGGUGAAAGGCCAAUCAAACCGGGAGAUAGCUGGUUCUCCCCGAAAGCUAUUUAGGUAGCGCCUCGUGAAUUCAUCUCCGGGGGUAGAGCACUGUUUCGGCAAGGGGGUCAUCCCGACUUACCAACCCGAUGCAAACUGCGAAUACCGGAGAAUGUUAUCACGGGAGACACACGGCGGGUGCUAACGUCCGUCGUGAAGAGGGAAACAACCCAGACCGCCAGCUAAGGUCCCAAAGUCAUGGUUAAGUGGGAAACGAUGUGGGAAGGCCCAGACAGCCAGGAUGUUGGCUUAGAAGCAGCCAUCAUUUAAAGAAAGCGUAAUAGCUCACUGGUCGAGUCGGCCUGCGCGGAAGAUGUAACGGGGCUAAACCAUGCACCGAAGCUGCGGCAGCGACACUGUGUGUUGUUGGGUAGGGGAGCGU
rnacentral:rRNA from 1 species